CCGAAUACAUUAGCAUGGGAUAAUGGAAUAGGACCCUGUCCUCCUAUUUUCAGUUGGUUUUGGCAGCGCGAGGACUAGGGUAGUGAUUAAUAGGGAUAGUUGGGGGCAUUAAUAUUUAAUUGUCAGAGGUGAAAUUCUUGGAUUUAUGAAAGAUUAACUUCUGCGAAAGCAUCUGCCAAGGAUGUUUUCAUUAAUCAAGAACGAAAGUUAGGGGAUCGAAGACGAUCAGAUACCGUCGUAGUCUUAACCAUAAACGAUGCCGACCAGCGAUUAGGAGACGUUGAAUACAAAACACCACCAUCGGCGCGGUCGUCCUUGGCGUCGGUCUUUCGGGGCCGGCGCGGGGGCGGCUUAGCCCGGUGGCACCGGUGAAUGACUCCCUA
rnacentral:rRNA from 1 species